GGGUUGUGAGGUUAAGCGACUAAGCGUACACGGUGGAUGCCCUGGCAGUCAGAGGCGAUGAAGGACGUGCUAAUCUGCGAUAAGCGUCGGUAAGGUGAUAUGAACCGUUAUAACCGGCGAUUUCCGAAUGGGGAAACCCAGUGUGAUUCGUCACACUAUCGUUAACUGAAUACAUAGGUUAACGAAGCGAACCGGGGGAACUGAAACAUCUAAGUACCCCGAGGAAAAGAAAUCAACCGAGAUUCCCCCAGUAGCGGCGAGCGAACGGGGAGGAGCCCAGAGCCUGAAUCAGCAUGUGUGUUAGUGGAAG
rnacentral:rRNA from 1 species